CGCGUAGGCGGUCCUACAAGUCCCGCGUGAAAGCCCCCGGCUCAACUGGGGAAUGGCGCGGGAAACUGUAGGGCUUGAGUUCGGGAGAGGGAAGCGGAAUUCCGGGUGUAGCGGUGAAAUGCGUAGAUAUCCGGAGGAACACCGGUGGCGAAGGCGGCUUCCUGGACCGACACUGACGCUGAGGCGCGAAAGCUAGGGGAGCAAACG
rnacentral:rRNA from 1 species